rnacentral:tRNA from 1 species
GGUUGUGGCUCAGUGGUAGCACGCUCGCCUACCAUGCGUGAGACACUGGGUUCCAUCCUCAGCAUCA